GAUUAUUAUCCAUACUAUUUAAACAAAAGUAUGUGGGAACUCGUAUCCAAUCAGAUGCAUAAAUGCUUAAGAGAAAUUUGAAAAAUUGAACAUCUUUCAUAUGUAUUCUUUAGA
rnacentral:sRNA from 1 species